rnacentral:pre_miRNA from 1 species
CUGAAGUUUGGAUCCAAAUUUUGGAUCUAAACACAGCCUUAUAUGAAUUUUUUUUUUGUAAUUAGUAUUUUCAUUGUUGUUAGAUGAUAAAACAAGAUUAAUACUUUAUGCGUGACUUAUCCUUUUAAUUUUUUUCAUAAUUUUUUUAAAUAAGACGGACAUUCAAAUGUUAGACACGGAAACCAGAGUUUGUCUUUUUU